UCGCAACGUCACUUUGUGGUGCGGCGUCGAGUUAAUCGCUCGUAUUGCCGCGAAAUCGAAACCGUUCCGUCGUAGGCGCACACGUUACGUACCGUCGUUGCGUACCGUUCGUCGGUAACAGAUUUUUUUUUCUCAAAUGCGAAUCGAACACGCGUAAGAGAUUUCGUUCGCCACCGUAAAUACUUGAAAUACAUUUCUCGAAUUAUACGAUCGUCGUAUAAUUCAAGUGGCCGAUCGGUUGUGCGGUCGUUCGAUCGAUCGAUCGAGUCCCGUACGCCGAUCGGAAGUCCAUCUGUCUCGAACCGGAAGAGAGGUGGAUAAGGUGAAAAGAGACGCGGGGAUUUCGAAAUAUAACCGAUAAUUAAAAUUUCGGCAAAAAUAAAAAAGUGCUCGUGAAAGGACGGGGGGGGAGGGGAAGAGGAUUGGAAUGAAGCGAGGAAUUAUCACGUGGUAUCGAUAAUAUCGGGAGGCAUUCUCAGAGGUCGUUCAGGUAUGCAUUACAACGGCCAAGGGAUUUUGGAAGACUCGUAUCUGCGACAACGACAGCAGCAAGAGCAUCAUCAUCAUCAUCACCAUCACCACCAACAGCAGCAACGGCAACAGCACACCGUUUACGAGAUUCGGCGGAAGGCUCGCGAUCGAAGUUGUUCCCCGAGUUGUUCGGAUGAAGUUGUGCGGUCACCUGGGCCCGAAGUGAGGGUGGGAGGAGAGACGGUCGGAUCGCCGGAGAAUAUACGUUUGAUCGAGAACGGGUCUCCCCCGGAGCUCGAAGACGAAUCUCGAAUGUCGAGGUAUCGGGAGGAAAAUGAUGGGAAGAAACCUUCGUUCUCGAAGCAGGAAAACGAGCAACCGGCCGGUUUUUUUCGGGACCCGAGCGAGGAAACGAGUGUGAAGUGUUUCACGGAGGAGAUGGUGUCCGCGGCACGUUACGGGGAGCCGGACAACUCGCCAACUGGCAGGAUCUCCCCGCAAGAGUACGCGGUUCACCCGACCGAGAGCAGGCGUCACAGCUCGUUCGGCAAGACAUCUUUCUGCAUCGACGCGCUCCUCGGCCGAGCGAGCGGCAAGCAGCAGGAGAAUACCGAUCACGAUCAGCGAUCGGAACGGAAUCAAAGAUUGUUAUUCGCCGCGAGGAAUUCCGUGAUCGACGCGAAUUCUUGCCUGGCCAACUCGUUGAUCGGCGCCCACGAACGGGAAUCGUCCUCCUCCGCUCUCGGCGGGAUUGCAGGCCGUGGCGAGAUCGAGGCUGGAACCGGAGUUGGAAUCGGGAUAGGAAACGGAGCAACGCUUGUCGGCGCGGGGAGAACGGAUGAUCAGAGGGGAUCGUCCCUCGGCAAUCUCUUGUCGAGCAAUCCGUUCGACAGAUCCGUCGUUCACCACGAUCUCUCCUCGCCGUCCAACCUGCAAGUUAUUCGGGAGGGGAGCAGCGACAGACAAGAUGUUCGCGGCCAUUUGCCCGGUAUCCGCGUCGAGCCCGUGGAAGAGUCGAAGCCGGGUUUCAAGGGGGAGAGCGGGGGGUUUCGCGUGGAUCGUUUCGAGAGCGUCGAGGACGAGGCCUCGAUCGAGGUUGAUCCGGCGAGAACAGGAAGCGCGAGCUCGGGGGGGAGUAACGCGAGCCACAGUCCUGUCUCGAGCCCGCCGAUCUCGCCCGGGUCGGAGGAGCCGAGCGGCAACGCUGUCCCCGGUAAUCCGAAUUUACCGAGCGGUCAUUAUGGCGCGCUCGGCAGCGGUGCAGGGGUAACCCGGCAGAAUCAAGCGCUUCUCUUACAUCCGAGUGGCCCCCUCAUACAUCCAGGAGGAUUAUAUUAUCAUCCUGCGGGCGGUAGCGCGUUUCAUUCGAUACACAAGGAAGGACAACCCGUCGGACAUUCGCAGAGUGCCGGUGCUCAUCCUCAGCAGCAUCACAUCCAUCCACUCCAACUCGAGUGGCUUGCCAGGACUGGAAUGUUAUAUCCCAGAUUACCCGCCGAUUUAGCCGGUUGCGCAGCCCAACAUGCUCUCCUUGGAAAAACCAGAAGGCCGAGGACCGCUUUCACGUCGCAACAAUUACUCGAAUUGGAGAAACAAUUUAGACAGAACAAGUACCUAAGCAGACCGAAGAGAUUUGAAGUGGCCACCUCGUUAAUGCUUACGGAAACACAGGUGAAAAUCUGGUUUCAAAAUCGUCGAAUGAAAUGGAAAAGAAGUAAAAAGGCGCAACAAGAGGCACGGGCGAACAAUAAGGUGGAGGAUGGUGGGAAUGUGAGAAGCGGCGAGAGAGAAACAGGGAAUGAUCCGAAUCCGAAUUCGCCGAGUCCGCAGGAGGAUACCAAAGGAACGUUACAAGAAAACACGCAAAGAAACACGACCGAGCUUCAAGAGCCGCUUUAUCGACCAUACGUGGUAUAAAAACAUUGACGAAAUAAUAAUGAUGUGCCAAAAUAAGAACUAAAGAUAACCGUAAGUUGCCAUUUCUCGCGUCAUUUUCAUUGUCGAUCAAAAUACCGUCGGUCGAUAUAUACUUUGAUACACUUCGUGUGAUACCAAUCUUGUUCUUCUUGGGAUCGAAAUAUUUUCUUUUUUUUUUUCUUUUUUUUUUUGGGAGGAGGGAAAGAAUUUUUAAUACUACUUCGCCCCUACUUUGACUUUGAAGGAGAACAAAGAAGUGUUGUACGUGGAAAACGAUUGAUUUUUUUGGAAGAAAAGAUCGUAAGAAUGGAAUCGCGUGCAUGAUGUAUAUAUAUAUAGUAUACAAAAAGUAUCGAUCAAGUACGUAAUACUGGUGUAACAUUGGAAAAUUUGUAUGUAAAUAUAGGGAACAAAACUAUAUAAUAAUAAAUUAUAGACGCAUAUUUAUACACGCAUAGGUAUAUACACGCGUUCCCUCGUGUCCAUGCCCGUGCUUGCACGCGAUCGCUGUUAUCAAAAGCGAUAAAGUUAGAAAAUUAAAAAUUUGAAAUUUUGACUCUUUACCAUCCUUUAUUACCACCUUGAAUUAUUUCGUCGAAAUGUUUUACAUUACCGAAGGUUGGUAAAAAAGAAGUGCGUUUUUAUCCGGGUAUCACAAAAAAAAAAGAAUAUGGCUUGUAUUAAUAAAUCGAGAGGGACGAGAAUACGAGCGACGCAAUCGCAGCAAUAGUUGUAUAAAAUCAUCGAUUAGAUUAAGUAUCGAGGGAUUAGAAGAUUUUUUGACCGUAACACUCUUCUCCAACGUUGCUCUAGAUGAUCCACAGACACUCGAAGACACGUACCUAUCUAUUUAUGAUAAAUUACGUAAUUGUAAAUAAUAUUCGUAUACGUUUAGGGUAGAAAGUGCGAUGCGAGGAUAACGUCAUAUUAUGUCGCAACAAGUUCCUAAAAUAAAUCACAAAUAGAAGAAUAAAACGUAUUUGUUUAUUCCUUGUUCAUUUUUUUUUUUUUUAAAUCUCGUUCGAUGCAUCGCAAACAAAUUGAAUUGAAAAUUAAUUUAAUUAAUUGCUUACGUACUUAACAUAACAUUUUCAAAAGUUGUGCUUUUAGGUGUGAAUCGUGUCUCUAUAUACGUGCACGUGUAUUUUAUAUAGUUUUAACAUAAGCGAAUCUUUAUUUCUGUAAAAGAAGAAAAAGAGGAAAAAAAAAAAAAAAAGAAAAUAUACCCAUUCAAAGAAGACACGAUCAUAUGUUUCCCACUAAAGUUCCCGCACGUAAACGAAGAAUCAUCAGUAUUUAUGAUAUGCUAAUUUCCCGUUACAAAUUCCGCGAUGUUUCGCGGAUGACUGCUCUUACCGGCUACAGCCAGUGGAAAAACCAUCCGUUUGGAAAACCAGUCGUCAACGAAGGAAUGGAAAGGAGCAAGAGAGAAGAGAAACUUGGCUAGAUAUAGGUAUAUAUCGUUCUUAAAAAAUAGAGAUCGGUUUCGUGACAGCAUUUUGACGGAAAUCGUUACGUUAAACGUAAAUGGGUAUUAUAGAUAUUUAACUUUACGAAGAUUCACCGAUUCUCUCAAGAGACAUACACGUCUAAAUGCGAGAAAAAAAUAUCGAGGGAAAGAUGGAUUUGUGCCAAGAUACUUUAAAAUCUGCUAACUAACUGAAUUCUCUGGCAGAAACAGCAAUGUCUUGAAUCUAUCACGGUUAAGUAUUAUAAAAAGUAAUAUUUAAUAACAAGUAUUUUUCUCUUUCUCUCUCAUUUUGUUAUUCAAUUUACAAAAUUUACCUAUGUAAAAGAAAUGCGUAAGUACUUGUGUACGUUUUGUAAGAUUUUGAUACGUACACAUAAUAUACAUACAUGAUGUACAUAUA